UACGAAGGGGGCUAGCGUUGUUCGGAAUCACUGGGCGUAAAGGGAGCGUAGGCGGCGUGGUAAGUCAGAUGUGAAAUCCCGGGGCUCAACCCCGGAACUGCAUCCGAUACUGCCAUGCUAGAGGAUUGGAGAGGUAGCUGGAAUUCUUGGUGCAGCAGUGAAAUGCGUGGAGAUCAAGAGGAACACUCGUGGCGAAAGCGAGCUACUGGACAAUAUCUGACGCUGAGGCUCGAAGGCCAGGGUAGCGAAAGGG
rnacentral:rRNA from 1 species